AUUGAACGCUGGCGGCAGGCUUAACACAUGCAAGUCGAACGAGUGGCGGACGGGUGAGUAAUGCUUGGGAAUCUGGCUUAUGGAGGGGGAUAACUACGGGAAACUGUAGCUAAUACCGCAUACCAUCGGAUGAGCCCAGGUGGGAUUAGGUAGUGGGUGGGGUAACGGCUCACCAAGGCGACGAUCUCUAGCUGGUCUGAGAGGAUGACCAGCCACACUGGGACUGAGACACGGGCCAGACUCCUACGGGAGGCAGCAGUGGGGAAUAUUGCGCAAUGGGCGCAAGCCUGAUGCAGCCAUGCCGCGUGAAUGAAGAAGGCCUUCGGGUUGUAAAGUACUUUCGGUAGGGAGGCGUUACUCACAGAAGAAGCACCGGCUAACUCCGUGCCAGCAGCCGCGGUAAUAC
rnacentral:rRNA from 1 species